rnacentral:tRNA from 1 species
GCGGAGUAGAGUAAUUUGGUAGCUCGCAAGGCUCAUAACCUUGAGGUCAUGGGUUCAAAUCCUGUCUCCGC